AUUGAACGCUGGCGGCAGGCCUAACACAUGCAAGUCGAACGAGUGGCGGACGGGUGAGUAAUGUCUGGGAAACUGCCUGAUGGAGGGGGAUAACUACUGGAAACGGUAGCUAAUACCGCAUACCAUCAGAUGUGCCCAGAUGGGCUUAGCUUGUUGGUGGGGUAACGGCUCACCAAGGCGACGAUCCCUAGCUGGUCUGAGCGGAUGACCAGCCACACUAGAACGGAGAAACAGUACAGACGCCUACGUGAGUAAGCAGUGGGGAAUAUUGCACAAUGGGCGCAAGCCUGAUGCAGCCAUGCCGCGUGGAUGAAGAAGGCCUUAGGGUUGUAAAGUACUUUCAGCGGGGAGGCGUUACCCGCAGAAGAAGCACCGGCUAACUCCGUGCCAGCAGCCGCGGUAAUAC
rnacentral:rRNA from 1 species